ACGCUGGCGGCAUGCUUUACACAUGCAAGUCGGACGGCAGCACAGAAAAGCUUGCUUCUUGGGUGGCGAGUGGCGAACGGGUGAGUAAUAUAUCGGAACGUACCGAGUAAUGGGGGAUAACUAAUCGAAAGAUUAGCUAAUACCGCAUAUUCUCUGAGGAGGAAAGCAGGGGACCUUCGGGCCUUGCGUUAUUCGAGCGGCCGAUAUCUGAUUAGCUAGUUGGUGGGGUAAAGGCCUACCAAGGCGACGAUCAGUAGCGGGUCUGAGAGGAUGAUCCGCCACACUGGGACUGAGACACGGCCCAGACUCCUACGGGAGGCAGCAGUGGGGAAUUUUGGACAAUGGGCGCAAGCCUGAUCCAGCCAUGCCGCGUGUCUGAAGAAGGCCUUCGGGUUGUAAAGGACUUUUGUCAGGGAAGAAAAGGCUGUUGCUAAUACCGACAGCUGAUGACGGUACCUGAAGAAUAAGCACAGGCUAACUACGUGCCAGCAGCCGCGGUAAUACGUAGGGUGCGAGCGUUAAUCGGAAUUACUGGGCGUAAAGCGAGCGCAGACGGUUACUUAAGCAGGAUGUGAAAUCCCCGGGCUCAACCUGGGAACUGCGUUCUGAACUGGGUGACUAGAGUGUGUCAGAGGGAGGUAGAAUUCCACGUGUAGCAGUGAAAUGCGUAGAGAUGUGGAGGAAUACCGAUGGCGAAGGCAGCCUCCUGGGAUAACACUGACGUUCAUGCUCGAAAGCGUGGGUAGCAAACAGGAUUAGAUACCCUGGUAGUCCACGCCCUAAACGAUGUCAAUUAGCUGUUGGGCAACUUGAUUGCUUAGUAGCGUAGCUAACGCGUGAAAUUGACCGCCUGGGGAGUACGGUCGCAAGAUUAAAACUCAAAGGAAUUGACGGGGACCCGCACAAGCGGUGGAUGAUGU
rnacentral:rRNA from 1 species